rnacentral:hammerhead_ribozyme from 1 species
GCACUGCUGACGAGUCCCAAACGGGACGAACCAGCUGUCCAGUGC